rnacentral:lncRNA from 1 species
CAGAAGAUGGAUAAUGUGAUAUGCUAUAUACUAUUAGAGAUAUUCAAAAUAUAUGUACAACUGAUAUUGGACAUCAAGAUGAUCCAUAUUAAUUAAGAUAAUAAAAUCAAAAUAUUUUUUUUGACAUAUGAGAUCAACAUGUGAUUGUUUAUCAUAUCAUAUGUAGAGGAUGCUGCUGUUCAUUUUUAGUUGCUGAUCUUCUUCAUCAUCCAAAAACCAUAGCAUAGGGAGUUGUUAGGGGUUCCUGAGAAAAUUGUUAGUGUUAUUAAAUUUAGAAAGUUGAGUUGUUUAAUGAUAAAAGUGAAACCGUUGAAAAAGUAUACAUGACAAAAAAAAUGUGCGAUAUAAUAUUAACAGCGAAGCUAAAUAACGAAGGCUUCAUAAAAAUUUAAUUGAUUCAUUUCCUUGGCAAAAAGUUAACUGAUUCAUUUCAUUCUCCCUAUUGAGCAAACUUGAAUCGACUGAGAAUCCAAAAACUUCAUUAAGCAAAAGUCACAAAAUCAAGUGAGGAAGUUCCUGUAAUUAGACAAAUUAAGGUAGGUUAAAAAAUGAAAGUACAAUAUUCAAAUUCAUAUCAGCCGGAUCCUGUCAUUGUCCUGUAUGUAAAUAGGCAAUAACACAUGAGAUAAUUGGCAGAAAUAAAGUCAGGAUCGUUAGCAAUACAUAAGUCGAUUAUACUGAAACAAAAAAAAAAAUUUGCAAGUAUGUAGAAGAAAACAACUGGACAUAGUAUUUUACUAAAAUGAGGGUUGUCUUAAAGUAAAUCUAUAUAGAACACAUCAGUCAACAUUUAUGACUAUAAUAUAUACAAAUAUUGAACAUCUUACUUCUGUCAAGGUUUGACAUGAAUGAAAAAUUGUGUUCAUUUCCAUUAUCUGUAAGCACCAUAUUUGACACAAACAUAGCAAAGUUUUAAACAGUGGUGAACAAAAAAUAUUACGACAAAAGGAUAUAAGAUGGUUUAGCAGAAGUACGCUUACAUCCACAACAAGAUAAAAUACAUUGACAAAAACUGAUAUAUUGUCAAAUACUCAAUGAACUGUAAUUAUUGAGAAAUAUCAUCUACCAUGUCUGCUACAUCAAAACACUAAUUCUGAAGGCAUCUAUUGUUUACAAAAGACAUGAAUUUUUGGACUUUCAAAAACAUCUCUCUUUUCUUUCUAACCAGAUAGUCCGAAAGAUGCAAACAGAGGCAUGCUAUACCUGAUUUUCUUCAAUUUUUUUUGACUUUCUUGUUUGUACAAAUAUUAUUAGCAAGCCUCUCAUACUAUAUGAAAUCAAGAGGUUCUAAAUUUGUUUUGUAUGGCUACUUUGUAGUAUACUUUCCUGUUGGAUAUUCUAUUAGCAUGUUAUUAAGUGCAUGCUUUUCACACUAACACACUAAUAUUGUUUGAUAAUAUGUCUGAAAGAACUGGACACUAUUAAUUCUUCCUAAUUUUUUCUUUUUUCCAUCUUCAUCCUCUGACAUUUUGUUAUGCUCUUUCUCUCUUCUUGGUUCAUUUAUGUCACUUUGCAUCUAUGAAAUAGUUUUUUGUAUGUAAUUGUUUAAUUUGUGCUUUUGUAAAGCCAAACAUCCGAAUUCAAAGUAAAAGAUUCAAUUAGCAAUUAAAAUCUAUAUCUAAUGACUACAAUUAUAAAGAGAAGUCACAUAAACUCUUAGACUAUUACACAAGUUACUGUUAAGCUCAAGAUAUCAACCAGGCAGACCCAAGUCAUUAAUUUACUCAAAAUGAUCAAAUAAAAUAGAAACUGAAAGAAAGUUGGUAGUAUUCAUAAUCAUCACGGCCAACAAACUGCAUUAAAUGUAGAUACUAAUCUCAAAGAAAUCACUCAAAACACUUGGUAACACGGGUUAAGUUUUGAUACUUCUUAUAACUAAGUUUGAAGGGAAGCACAAAUAUCGAAAGUGAAAUGUGAAAUUAUUGUUGAAGGAGAGAAAACAUGAAGAUUCAAAAAAGCAAGUGAUGCCUUUUAAAAGACUUUUGACAGAGGAAACACCACCCACCAAAGAAAAUUCCAUGAUGCCUUUUAAGAGACUUUUGACAAACUUGUUGUACCUUAAUGAAUUUGAAAUUGAUUGUGAAGCACUUAGUUUGAAAUAAAUAAAUAAAUAAACAACUAAGAAAAUCAGCCAUCAAAAUAUUGUAAAAUAAAUUUGGGUUAAAGCAUUAGUUAACAUAUGUCCUUAGUUCAACUUGAUGUUUAUUAACAUGUCACUAUCACCUAGUCACAUUUAAGCUUAGUCUAAUGGGAAGAAGUAAGCUUACUGAAAAUAUUACUCCUUUUUUUAAGAUUCCAUUACCCUUUCUUGCUCCCAUACAUUCUGUUGAUGGGAAGUAUAGUAUCAAUUAAGCAUAUCGAUUAUUUUUUACAAGUGUCUUAUCAGUUUCAUCAAUGGCCAGCUAUUGUGUCUUGUGUUAGAUUUCCGCUUUUUCAAAGUCUUUAUGUUGAUGAAUGAGAGUUGUAAAAUUUAUCAAUUUUAUUAGGAAACUACUAAAUAAAAAAUAAUAUCAAGAGGAUAAACAUCUACUCACCCUAAGUAGAUAGUUCAACUUGAUUAACAUCUUCCAAGACAAACCCAGCUGUUGAAACUGAUCAAUUUUCAUAACACAUAAGUAUUGUGUUCAUUGGGGAAUUUCGUCAAAUACGUGACCACAAUCAUUAUCUGCAAAAAUAUUAUAUGGGCCAAAACAAUUAGUAUUUAAGAACUUGAUAGGUGAUACUACAAAAUAAUGAGAAAAAAAUCAUGCAUGAGCAGAAUAAUCAAUUAACAGAACAUUUGCAUAUCUAUAAAGUGAGAGAUCUCUGCCCUCCACUCUAAUCUCUCUACAGUAAGAACAACACUGACAAACUUGGACUGAAGUCGAUUGUUUUGUCCCCAAAAAUAAGCCAAACUUUAUCUGCACGUUCAACUAUUUCCUCUUCUUCACCUUUUGAGUUUUAACCCCAAAAUAAGUAGAAAUACCAUAACUAUGUGCAUGCAAGACUAUUGAAAUAGUGAAAAUUUUGGAUGCACUAUGUUCAUCAAGGGUCCAAAGUCAUCUAUGUAUUUAUUUCUAUUUUCGAACAUGCAUGAGUAAAUUAGAUACAAUUGAUGAUACAUACAUCUAAAAUAGCUACUAUUAUAGGUCUGUUUUUCAAGUUUAGGACUAUAUAAGAGUAGAAAAAUCAUAAAAAAAAACUCACCGUAAUACAACAGGUACGAAGAGGAAUUGGAGGUCUAAACAGAGAUUAAACACGAUAUCAGAAUUUGAUAAAGAGCAAAUGAGCAAGGGUGAGAAUAGAUGCGGAGAACACUCUAGAUUGUUGAAAGAAGGAAGAAGAAGAAAGUGGGAGAGAAAGGGAGAGUAAAGCAAAAGGUGAGAUGUUUCAUUUUUUACAUUAAAA